GACGAACGCUGGCGGCGUGCCUAAUACAUGCAAGUAGAACGCAGUUGCGAACGGGUGAGUAACGCGUAGGUAACUGCCUCAUAGGGGGGGAUAACUAUUGGAAACGAUAGAUAAUACCGCAUGCUGUGAGAUGGACCUGCGUUGGAGUAGCGAGUUGGUGGGGUAAAGGCUAACCAAGGCGACGAUACAUAGCCGACCUGAGAGGGGGACCGGCCCAACUGGGACUGGGACACGGCCCAGACUCCUACGGGAGGCAGCAGUAGGGAACUUUCGGCAAUGGACGGAAGUCUGACCGAGCAACGCCGCGUGAGUGAAGAAGGUUUUCGGGUCGUAAAGCUCUGUUGUUAGAGAAGCGGUACCUAAACAGAAAGCGACGGCUAACUACGUGCCAGCAGCCGCGGUAAUAC
rnacentral:rRNA from 1 species